AGGAGAGGUGCCAAGAAGCAGAGCUUUAUAUGACGACAAUCCAUUAACGUAAGAAAAGCCAGCCUCCUCUGAUGCUUCACAUGUCAAUCCGUUUAUUCAACUGGACAAGGCAAAGGAUUCCGAGUUAUACAAGCCAGUAUUGAUGGAGUCUUACACCUCACCAGGUGGGUUCUUGCAAAAUUUUCAAUGUACCUAUUGAGUUGAAUAGUUUUGAAAAUGUUUUUAAGAAAUGCUAUUGAUGAUUGAACCAGAUUCCAUUGUCCAUGUAUCAGCGGCUUCAUAUCCUGCAUUAGUUAUCUGGUUUGAAUUGCCAGCAGUCGCAUUGAGGUUCGAGAGUGGUCUUCCACAUCAUCAGGUACAUUUUCUCUGUUUUGAGGUUGCAGUAUUGAUAACACACCAAUCCAAGGGUAAAUGUGAGCUACAGAUUCAAACCUUUCGGGAGUUCAGUGCUCAAACAUCAUAUUCCCAGAAAUGAAGUCAAAAGAUACGACUCAUCACUGCAUUCCUUCUCUAAAAGAGAAUGCGAACUCUGUGUAUGAAGAAAAGUAAAUACAACUAAUUUAAAGUUUCUUAGUCCUUGCAAUCUGCAUUCUUUAUUAUUUAGCAUCUCUUCUUUGUUUUGUGCCCAACCCCAAUGCCCCUUUAAGUGUUCAAGAAAAGGAAACCAAACUCUGUCCACCGAGAAAAUAAAAAUAAAACUAAUUUAAAUCUUUUAUUCCUUGCAA